GACGUAGGGCGCGAGCGUUGUCCGGAUUUAUUGGGCGUAAAGAGCUCGUAGGCGGCUCGUUGCGUCGGCUGUGAAAACCCGCAGCUCAACUGUGGGCUUGCAGCUGAUACGUGCGGGCUGGGAUUCGGUAGGGGAGACUGGAAUUCCUGGUGUAGCGGUGAAAUGCGCAGAUAUCAGGAGGAACACCGGUGGCGAAGGCGGGUCUCUGGGCCGAUAUCGACGCUGAGGAGCGAAAGCGUGGGGAGCGAACAGG
rnacentral:rRNA from 1 species